UACGGAGGGUGCAAGCGUUAUCCGGAUUCACUGGGUUUAAAGGGUGUGUAGGAGGGCAGGGAAGUCAGUGGUGAAAUCCUAGGGCUUAACCCUAGAACUGCCGUUGAUACUCUCUGUCUUGAAUGCCGUGGAGGUGAGCGGAAUAUGUCAUGUAGCGGUGAAAUGCUUAGAUAUGACAUAGAACACCGAUUGCGAAGGCAGCUCGCUACACGAACAUUGACUCUGAGGCACGAAAGCGUGGGGAUCAAACAGG
rnacentral:rRNA from 1 species